rnacentral:rRNA from 1 species
AGUGAACGCUGGCGGCGUGCCUAAUACAUGCAAGUCGAACGGAGAUUAAGUAGCUUGCUAUUUAAUCUUAGUGGCGCACGGGUGAGUAAUAUAUAGCUAACUUGCCCAUUACUAAGGGACAACAGUUGGAAACGACUGCUAAUACCUUAUACUCCGUAUCUAUAUAAGUAGAUACGGGAAAGUUUUUCGGUAAUGGAUAGGGCUAUAUCGUAUCAGCUAGUUGGUAAGGUAAUGGCUUACCAAGGCUAUGACGCGUAACUGGUCUGAGAGGAUGAUCAGUCACACUGGAACUGAGACACGGUCCAGACUCCUACGGGAGACAGCAGUAGGGGAUAUUGCUCAAUGGGGGAAACCCUGAAGCAGCAACGCCGCGUGGAGGAUGACACUUUUCGGAGCGUAAACUCCUUUUCUUGGGAAAGAAUUAUGACGGUACCCAAGGAAUAAGCACCGGCUAACUCCGUG